rnacentral:sRNA from 1 species
GCUGGGCACAGUGACGCAUGCCUGUAAUCCCAGGCACUUGGGAGGCUGAGGCAGGAGGAUUACAAGUUCAAGGCCAGCCUCGGCAACUUAGUGAGAACCUGUCUCAA